UACAGAGGUCUCAAGCGUUGUUCGGAUUCAUUGGGCGUAAAGCGCGCGUAGGCGGCUUUGCAAGUCGGGUGUGAAAUCCCCAGGCUUAACCUGGGAACUGCAUUCGAGACUGCAUUGCUAGAGUAUGGGAGAGGGAAGUGGAAUUUCCGGUGUAGCGGUGAAAUGCGUAGAUAUCGGAAGGAACAUCAGUGGCGAAAGCGACUUCCUGGACCAGUACUGACGCUCAUGUGCGAAAGCGUGGGGAGCAAACAGG
rnacentral:rRNA from 1 species